rnacentral:rRNA from 1 species
CACUCCUACGGGAGGCAGCAGUGGGGAAUAUUGGACAAUGGGCGCAAGCCUGAUCCAGCCAUGCCGCGUGAGUGAUGAAGGCCCUAGGGUUGUAAAGCUCUUUCACCGGUGAAGAUAAUGACGGUAACCGGAGAAGAAGCCCCGGCUAACUUCGUGCCAGCAGCCGCGGUAAUACGAAGGGGGCUAGCGUUGUUCGGAUUUACUGGGCGUAAAGCGCACGUAGGCGGACUAUCAAGUCAGGGGUGAAAUCCCGGGGCUCAACCCCGGAACUGCCUUUGAUACUGGUAGUCUUGAGUUCGAGAGAGGUGAGUGGAAUUCCGAGUGUAGAGGUGAAAUUCGUAGAUAUUCGGAGGAACACCAGUGGCGAAGGCGGCUCACUGGCUCGAUACUGACGCUGAGGUGCGAAAGCGUGGGGAGCAAACAGGAUUAGAAACCCGAGUAGUCCCUGA